rnacentral:tRNA from 1 species
GCCGAUGUGGCGGAACCGGUAGACGCGCUGGAUUCAAAAUCCAGUUCCCUUUGGGAGUGGGAGUUCGAGUCUCCCCAUCGGCACCA